UGCUAUUCUGUAUUCUUUUUGUAGUUUGGCGAUUGGACGCAUGGAACCAAAUGGAGAAAUAUUUAAUCAAACGAAAGGUUUGGCUUAUCUUAGGGGCGCCUGCAGCAGACAUAAGGCUGUCCUGGUGACUGAGGCUCCUGGAUCACUGGAUGGUGUAUACACUGCUGUACAUGAAUUGGUUCAUGCACUAGGGUCUGAUCAUGAUGGAUCUCAAGUACCAGCUAAGCUUGGUUUACCGUGCCCAGACAACGCUGGUUACAUUAUGUCGCCUCAUAGAGUUAUAGAUGGCGCUGCAAAAUUUUCGAAUUGUACAGAGGCGCAGGUCAUAUUAUUUUUAUCCAAUGUGAAAUCAACGUGCAUAGAAAAAUCUACACUAAGACACAAAGUACCACUUUCUUCCCAAACGAUCGCAGACGCUUGGCCUGAUCAAAAUGCUUAUUGCAAGAAGCUUCAUCCUACGGUUACAAAUGUAUACUUU